rnacentral:lncRNA from 1 species
AUACGUUCAGGGGAAGUCUCUAAAGCAAGGGUAGUGUGUAUAAAUCCCCGUCGCAGAACAUUAACCUUCAGUUGUGUGUACACACACACACACACACACCCUAUAUAGUUGUAACCUAUAUAGACUUUCACACAUCCUAAGUUAUUUGCAAGUCUAGAUUUAAAUUAAGUCUACAUAGCAGGGAAUAGAAAAGUGAGCUGUACCUGGAAAAAACCUUUGAACACAGCGUUCUUGAUACAAGAUUUAGGAUUUGAAAGACAUGGCACAUGUACACACAGAUGACAUUUGUGCUGCCUUGGCAAAAACAGUUCUUUACUUCCAGAGUUCUUUCUCUUUAGUAUGGGACACGAUGAAACAGCACAAUUUUCAGGAGUCCACAAUUCCAGCGAGGCGCGUGGAUGGGAAAUUGUCACGUUGUGAAUUGUGUUUGUGCUUUGCUAAAUCGCCACCCGGAGCUGACUGUCAAAUCCUAUUUGCUUUGCUAAAUAAGGAUAUCUCAUCAAAUUAGCCUUUAAUGAUACUUCUACAAAUAGGGUGUUUUACAUGAAUUAACGAGGCCGGAACACUGACUGUUUCUCCAAGAUACUGAGCUAUAAUGGAGGCGACGAAGCCGAAUGUUAAAAUUACUGAAUUGUUAAGUGUGCAAAAUCAGACAGAAUUUAGUGCUAAAUGUGAAACAAUUUCUGCUUUAAUGGUGAGCAUUCGCAACAGCACAAGCAUUACUUAUAUUCAGCCGUCUGAAACUGUGCAUGUAAUUAUGAAUACAUUUAACAAACUUUAACCCCCCUCUGAGUCUGGAAACAGUCUAGUAUGGUGAAGAGAUUAUAAAUCAGCAUUUUGCAGUGAGAAGUCAUCAUUAAUUCAGCAAAGAAUCACAGCUUCUUUUCAGAUCCUUCCCACCACCCUCCUACACACCCCCCUCAACCAAUAAGGAAAAAAAAAAUUCAGCAUGGAACUGCUGGAUACACUGAAUAUAUUUUGGCUUUUCUCUUUUUGCCUCUGUGUGAGAAACUUCAUUAAGCAGUUGCUGUUCCCUCCCCACCCCCGCUAACCCCCAAAGAAGUGUGGAUUUAAGAAAAAAAAAAACAAAAAACAAGCAACUUUGAAUUUUGUUCUUAGCAAUCCCCAAGCCAUAGCUGAUCUCAGAGAGGCAAAAAAGAUGUUUCAAUAGAAAAGAAUACGGUAUGGCCAGGAGUAAAAUAUUUAGAGGUGGUUCUGCAAUGAAUAUGAUACUUCCUUAAAAAUAAAAUAUAUGUUGGUGAUUCAAACCAAUGAAAGUUGGAAAAGUCCCUCCAAGGGAACACUCUCUCUGUUUCCCUUCCCAGCAACCCCCCAACUUAACGUUAUGAACAGAAAGAUGGAAAUUCUUGCCAGAUCAACUAUAGCCUCCUAACGAUCAGCUCACCCUCCUUUAAUUUUGAUUGUGGAGCAAAUACAGCUAUUUUAGCCAUGAGGAUAAAAAUGAGUGCAGUGAAAAGUUAAGGCAAACUUGGUACUUAAAAUCACUCACCAGAAUAAAGUGCGUGUACAAACAAAACAUUGCUGAUCAGUUACUUUAAGCAGGCAUUUUCUUUCUCGCCUGAGCACCCCAAACACAGAAAAAUGUAGAGUUCUUUUUGCUUCUUGUAUCUGGAGCAGGUGAAAAUAAACCCUGACGCUCACAAACAUGAUAUAAACAACAUACUUUUCAGGCCUAGUAGCCAAGCCGACUUUUCAGGGAAAGAGAUGGACGUUGAAAGAAUUUAGGAGUGGACUUGGGGUUCCCUCCAUCACCCCAUGCCCAGCUGACCCCUUCUGCCCUUCUCAUGACCUCUUUUCAAAGCAGCCAGUGUUCAGAUGCUGCCUUUCCAGCGUCCCCAGUUGUAGGGGACAUAUGCACAUAUUUACCAAGC